rnacentral:lncRNA from 1 species
AAAUGAUUUUAUAACAUAGAAAAUGAUUCAUUGACCUGGAUAUACAAAAACCAGUCAGCUAGUAUCACUUAUUUAUUUGACUAAUAUCUGAGUGGUGCCCAUAUAUUAGAAACUACUUCAAGCCCUAGGUUUAAUAGUGUCCAACAGAGGAGCCACCAGCCAUAUGGCCAUGGGCUAUUGAGCACUUAAAAAGUGGAUAGUCUGCAAUGACAUGUAUAAAUGUGAAACACAUAUGAUUUCACAGAUUUAAACUAUCUAAACUAUCUCAAUCAUAUUUUUAUAUUGGGCACCCACUGAAAAACGCUAUUUGAUAUAUUGAGUUAAAUUAAAUAGAUUAAGAAAAUUAAGUUCACCAGCUUCUUUUUACUACUUUUAAAGUGCCUACUAGCAAAUUUCAAGUUACAUGUGUGGUUUGCAUUAUAUUUCUUUAAAAAUAUAUAUUUAUUUAUUUGACGGGGUCAGGGGGAGAGCACAAGCAGAGGGAGAGGGAGAAGCAGACUCUCCAAAGAGCAGGGAACCCAACACAGGGCUUGAACCCAGGGCCUCAGGAUCAUGACCUGAGCCAGAGGCAGACACUUAAUCAACUGAGCCACCCAGGCACCCCUGCAUUAUAUUUCUAUUGGACAGAACUUCUCCAGAUGAUAAAAAUGUUUAAUGAGGAAACAGGUCUUUGUAUUCACGUUUGUGUGCUUGGAGUCAGGCACAAAUGCCAUUCAAGGACUCCUGUCAGAUGCUGAGGAAGGUGCAUUAUAAGGAGCAUGCCAACCUCUGAAAUUUUGCCAUCUAGCAGUAUGCAUCAAAAAGACGGGAAAAGGUACAUAAUCACAAAGCCAUUAUAUAUGCUAACCUAAAAUAUAACACUGCUUUAUGUCAAGAAAUCUCUCUAAUAAAGUUAUGGUUGUUCAAUACAUCUCAUUUCUUUUAUCACAAGGAGAGCAUUAAGCUGAUCUGCUGUUCAGCACCUACUGCUGGGAUUGUGGAUGUGCUUCUCAGGCAUCAGGAGGGGGACGAGGAGCUCAUAUUUUAUUUGCUUUUAACGGCAAAUUUGUACAGUGGAUCAAGAGAGCGGCCUCAUCACAAAUGCUAUUUGAAAUUCACUGAUAUCCCCAAGCUAGCUAAGUUGGAUCUUAGGAGGGAGCCAGGAGAAAACAUUUCAAAACAUCCAGAGGUCCCCAAAGCCUCCCUAAGGAUCUGAAGGCCCACUGUGGUUGUGACAAAGAGAUUACAGAACUGUCAAAUAUAUGGUAGAGAUUAAUUAACAGAGUAUUAUCUUUGGUGGCUCUGACCAACAGUACAAAGAAAUUAUCAGGAGCCAAAUAAUUACAAACCAGGUAUGCUUAGAACAAAUUUAAAAUAGCUUAUCUUUAUUUUUACAGUAUGUUUUAUUCCCUCCAAAGCCAUUUCAGGCUAAAGAAGUCUUCUUAACUAUAUGGAAUCUUUGAAUUUUCACUCUUUAGGAUAACAUUUCAAUUAAUUUAAGUCAUUUUAUCUCUCACAUAGAGAUUUCCACAAUUAUCUGUCAAACUCAGGCAUAAUUUUGCUCAAAAUAAACGGUUUCUAUCAUAAAGAUGCACUAAAACAAUCAAAACACAAUCAUAUUCUCAAUAUUAGAAUGCAGGAUUUGUGGUACAAAGCUUAUGUUCAAAGGUUUUAAAGAAAGGAAACAUAAUUUAUAGAAGUUUAAAAAGAUACUCCAUGUAAUACCAAUUCAUUAAGUAAUUUUGAAAGGGUCAAAUCUUAUUUUGCUUAAGGGUUAUCUGAUACAGAAAUUACUGGAGUUUUAUAAAAUAUGCACUCUGUCCCUGCUCAUUUUCUGAAUGAAUAAAUAUGAGGCCAAUUUUAUACAGAAUCACUUCAACUUGAACUAAUAAUAAUUGUGUAUUACAGCCUAGCAUGUUUCAAAGGGAUAUGUAUAAAAAGGAAGGCAAAAGAAAACAUUAAAUCAGCCACUAAUUAUAAUUAAUUCAUGGACAGUUGAGGUUUAUUGGCUUUGGCUAAAGUAUGUAACAGUACUCAUAUGGAAGUCCAGGGUCCAAGCUAAAAAGCACCGGGUCAUAUAAGGACUGUUUUUAUUUGCUGAAUAGAUUUAAGAUACAAUAAACUGUUUUUGAAGAUAAAAUGAUAUAAGCAGAAACUUGCAGAUCUCACCAGAAACUGUGAAUCUCUUACUGAUUAUUUCCUUUAUUUUCAGGAAUGUACAUGGGUCCUUUUGAGAAAUUUUUAAUCAUUAAGAAAAAUUAAAACUUGCUGAAAGACAUUGCAUGGGAUUUCAUUUACACUGAAUCAUUCUGGGGCACUAGAUUUGCACUGAAACAUAUAAAGAGAUUCGUAAAAUUAGCAUCAUCUCUUUUUAAUUAUGGAGAGAUGGAGAACUAACCCAUGGAAUAAGAAUGAUUUUGAAAUCAUAAAAAGAAUCUGACCUUUGUGUAUGGUAGCCCUCUCUUAACUGAUAUCCCACCUACUCAGCUGGUUUUGUGAUACAGUAAUUAUCAUAUUUGACCUCUGUCCAUGAGCAAACUAUUUAAUUGUUCAUAUCAACUAUUGCCCACAAUACUUUCCAAUAUGCCUAUUCAUCAUAUUUACUACCUGCUAUGGGGACAGCUGAACCUCUCCUCCUCACUCAUGGCUCUACAUCCUCACCAUCCAGGGAGAGUUAUUCAAGUGAGCAUAUAAACAAGUGGUAAGUGAGCCAACCAUCUAAAGUUUUAUAUCAAGGCACUGGGUGGCUCAUUUGGUUAAGUGUCUGCCUUCAGCUCAGGUCAUGAUCCCAGGGUCCUGGGAUUGAGCCCCGUGUUGGGCUCCCUGCUCAUCAGGGAGUCUGCUUCUCCCUCUCUCUCUGCCCCUACCCCUGUUCCUGUGAGCUCUCUUACUCUCAUUCUAUCUCAAAUAAGUAAAUAAAACCUUAAAAAAAAAAAAAAAAAAAAAAA